CCUAAGUUCUCUGCGCCGAAAUUUCCUUUCCCUUCCCCGUGCCCUAAGCCGCUCGCCACCCAUUGUCAUCACCGGCAGAGCUUCCCUUCUCCCGUCGCCGCCGAUCCUCGCCUCACGAGCGCUGCCCUCCUACCCUGAUUCACCGCCGGCCGAUUGACGACGGGGUCAAGCACCAACACGGAUCUAUCAUCAUCUCCUUUGUGUUGUGCCCCAUUCCAGCAUGACCAGCCUCCCGAUCCUGACAUUGCUGUUGUGUUGACGCAGAUCCACCCAACACCGUGCCUAGCCUUCAUAGUUUUUCCCCUUUCUUCCACUCUCGCUCAAACCGUCGCCAAAUGUCUAUGGUGUAGCCAACAUCGAUGCUCUAAAUCCUUUGCUUUUGUUCCUGUAAGCAAACAUAUCAAGGUAAUUUGUUGGGAGUUAGGGUGUUGAUUUGAAGGUUCUAGUGGAUUCUCUUGCCAACUCUAUUGCUAAGGCACAAAAGCGCAUCCUAGAUCACAAGCACUAAAAAGAAGAGGCCCUUAACAUUCGUGUAAUUAAAGGCAAUGAAGUCAGGGAAGUUGAGAAGGAAUUGCUCUAUAAGAUCGAGGAACUAGAGAAGUAAAGAAACCAGCUGGAUGUUGAACUAAUGAAGGUUAAUACAUCUCUGGCAGCUGUGACUACAAGGUUUAAGAAAAUCAGAGAAGAGAGGGAUUAGUUUGAUGAAGCAAACAGCCGGAUUGUCCUUAACCUGAAAGCCAUGGAAAAUGAGCUAGCAAAUCUGUUGCUUCAUGUAAAGUAGAAGCUGAUAUUGUCCAUGUUUCGAUUAAUUUCUUGGAAGAUAUAUGGAAGUUUCAAUCUUCAUACACAGAGCUAAAAAGAAGCAGAUCAGUGAUGAGCUGGAGAAAGUGCAUUUGCGGACAACCUGAAGCAAUUGAAUUAGAGGUCAGAAGUGGUGCAAAGUUCAGAUGAUAAGAUACUUAAAAAGUCAAAUCCCAAGAAACUUCUUGAAGAGGAAUACUUAGCAACUGAAACAAAAGACUUAGAUUUAAGAAGAACAUCUCGACGUGGGAUUGUUUAGCGUGGUCUAUAAUAAAGGCGGGUACUUCUUGCUUUGUUUUCUUUUAGUACCUUGACCUUAGUGCAUGAAUUAUUUUAGAUAAGGACUGUUUACCUUGACUCCAUUCUUAUUUUUCCUGUUCUUGAUAUUUCCAUGUGAUCUUUGAGAUAUUCGUUUCCAUAUCUAUACAGUCUCGUCUCUUGUUGUUGUCUA